GAUGAACGCUAGCUACAGGCUUAACACAUGCAAGUCGAGGGGAAACGAUGAGAGAGCUUGCUCUCUUAGUCGUCGACCGGCGCACGGGUGAGUAACGCGUAUCCAACCUGCCUCUGACCAAGGGAUAACCCGUCGAAAGUCUGACUAAUACCUUAUGCAGUCGUCGGAAGUCAUCUGAUGACGACGAAAGAUUUCAUCGGUGAGAGAUGGGGAUGCGUCUGAUUAGCUUGUUGGCGGGGUAACGGCCCACCAAGGCGACGAUCAGUAGGGGUUCUGAGAGGCAGGUCCCCCACAUUGGAACUGCGACACGGUCCACACUCCUACGGGAGGCAGCGGUGAGGAAUAUUGGUCAAUGGGCGUAAGCCUGACCCAGCCAAGUAGCGUGCAGGAUGACGGCCCUAUGGGUUGUAAACUGCUUUUAUGCGGGGAUAAAGUGAGGGACGUGUCCUUCAUUGCAGGUACCGCAUGAAUAAGGACCGGCUAAUUCCGUG
rnacentral:rRNA from 1 species